GACGUGGCCAUUGCAGAGAAAUCACCCUUCCCAGCAGACCCAGCAGCCAGCAAAGCAGGUGGCACAGCUGUGGUCACUACAAAGCUGAGCACACAAAGAAGUAUGACAAACUUGAAGGGUCUACGUGGAAAUGGCAGCCUUCAUUUUGGGGGCAACCAACUGGGAAUUGAUAGGUGGAAAAGAAGCCCAUAAACAACAAAGUGCUUACCAUAAUCUUCAUCAGAGGUAAGUGAUUUGGGGCUUAUGUGUGGCCUACAGCCCUCUCAUAGCCACAGAAGGGAAGCAUUCUGGCUGGGGUACAAAUGAAAAGGGACAGUUGAAAGACAAUGACACCAAAAAUGUUGAAGCCUGUAAAUUCGUGGAGGGUGUCAGUCAUGAGGUUAUUUUGUCAACAGCAUGUGGUCAGAAAUACACACCUGGCACUGAUGAAAACCAGCUCCGUAUUUGCUGCAUUAGGAAAGAAAAAGAUGUGGCACCUGAGCCUCAGCUAUCAGCAGAUACAGUUUCUAGCCCUGGGUAAAUAAUGCACCAGACCAACCAAUCACCAAAAAAAAAUGGCUUUAGGGGCUGAAUUCAGUGUAAUCAAGGAUACAGAAGAAAACCUCCAUUUUGUGAGAAGCCCUGAGUAUGAUUUGCUGGGACACAAUUUUUGACAGGAAAUUUGUCCCCUGAGUUCUGUGGAUAGAGUCUGACAUCUGGUGCCCAGGCACUUGGCUAUCUAUGAAAAAGAAGAAACACAGGUUUUGCCAGUACCAAAUGUCAUUGUACAGAGGAAGAUGUGGGCUUGUAGCCACAUCUGCACAACCAAAAUAGAGAUUCUGUAUGGUAUCUUUUCAGGGAGGGCUGUCAUGGGCUUCUCACACUGUUUGGUGAUGUCUGGAGAUAAAUGUGAGACUCAGAAAGAAAGUAAAGAAACUG
rnacentral:lncRNA from 1 species